rnacentral:rRNA from 1 species
CGCGAAAGUGGAGCAAUCCAUGAGUAGAGUGGCAAACGGGUGAGAUAACACGUGGGUGACCUGCCUUCGAGCGGGGGAUAACGUCUCCGAAAGGGACGCUAAUACCGCAUAACAUGCCGCCUUUUAACAGGUGGACAUCAAAGCUGGGGAUCGCAAGACCUAGCACUUGAAGAGGGGCCCGCGCCUGAUUAGCUAGUUGGUGGGGUAAUGGCUCACCAAGGCAACGAUCAGUAUCCGGCCUGAGAGGGCGGACGGACACACUGGGACUGAGACACGGCCCAGACUCCUACGGGAGGCAGCAGUGGGGAAUUGUUCGCAAUGGGCGCAAGCCUGACGACGCAACGCCGCGUGGAGGAUGAAGAUCUUCGGGUCGUAAACUCUUUUCGAUCGAGACGAACGGCUUCCGGGUGAACAAUCCGGAAGAGUGACGGUACCGAGAGAAGAAGCCCCGGCUAACUCCGUGCCAGCAGCCGCGGUAAUACGGGGGGGGCAAGCGUUGUUCGGAAUUACUGGGCGUAAAGGGCGCGUAGGUGGCCAACUAAGUCAGACGUGAAAUCCCUCGGCUUAACCGGGGAACUGCGUCUGAUACUGGAUGGCUUGAGUUUGGGAGAGGGACGCGGAAUUCCAGGUGUAGCGGUGAAAUGCGUAGAUAUCUGGAGGAACACCGGUGGCGAAGGCGGCGUCCUGGACCAAUACUGACACUGAAACGCGAAAGCCAGGGGAGCAAACGGGAUUAGAUACCCCGGUAGUCCUGGCCCUAAACGAUGAAUGCUUGGUGUGGCGGGUAUCGAUCCCUGCCGU